UGGGGCUACCUCUGCUUGCGGGCGGCAGCAGAAAGCCCGUCAUCUCGGCGCUUUCCCUUAACCGAGUCGCUCUGCUUUUUCAUAUUCUUCUGGCGGGCGAGUUCGCGCUGGUUACCGCCUAAAGAAAAGGAAGGAACAAGAAACUUUGUGAACAGAACAUGCAGUCGCGUAGAAGUCUUUCCCAACUCCAAAGUCACUAUGAAGUUUAACCAAGGAUUACGAGUGGGGGCCAUGCCCCUGCUGCCGAGGUCAUUCAUUGUUCGGUCUGCGUCUGCGUGUUUUCCCCGCUUUACUAACCCCUGGAGACACCUGGUUUCCAUGGUGACUGUGACCGGGGAGCUGAAUCUCAACGUGGCGUUACUCCCAGCGCUGAUAAAUGUGACUGCAGGAUUCCCUACCAAAGUGCUUAGGAAAUAACAGGAGAGGAUUGUAAAGUUGUGAUUCCAGCAGUGCCCACAACUCAGCAGCCUGCCUGAAGCUGAAUCAACCUCAACAUACAUCUGACGGAAAAUCGG